GCAAGGUCCUGAGCCUGAAGGAUGCCCACUAUGAGCUACAGAGGAAAGACAGAAAGGGACCUACCUGAGCAUCUGUGAAGUUGUAGUCCAGCGAGAACUCCAGUCUACCCAACUUCUCCUGUUCCUUCUCCUCUUGCUCUCCUUCCUUCUUUACAUCUCCCUCCUCCCGGAAAAAAAACACCAGUGCUUUGGAUAUUCAUCAUGAAUAUUUACAUCUGCAUUUCUUGAACAUACAGAAGAUGCAGCAUGCCACCAAAACCAAGACCACCACAACAAUGGCUGCUAUUGCCCACACGGGAACUGCAAAAUAACAAGAAG